GAUGAACGCUGGCGGCGUGCCUAAUACAUGCAAGUCGAGCGAACGGACGAGAAACUUGCUUCUCUGAUGUUAGCGGCGGACGGGUGAGUAACACGUGGAUAACCUACCUAUAAGACUGGGAUAACUUCGGGAAUCCGGAGCUAAUACCGGAUAAUAUUUUGAACCGCAUGGUUCCAAAGUGAAAGACGGUCUUGCUGUCACUUAUAGAUGGAUCCGCGCUGCAUUAGCUAGUUGGUAAGGUAACGGCUUACCAAGGCAACGAUGCAUAGCCGACCUGAGAGGGUGAUCGGCCACACUGGAACUGAGACACGGUCCAGACUCCUACGGGAGGCAGCAGUAGGGAAUCUUCCGCAAUGGGCGAAAGCCUGACGGAGCAACGCCGCGUGAGUGAUGAAGGUCUUCGGAUCGUAAAACUCUGUUAUUAGGGAAGAACAUAUGUGUAAGUAACUGUGCACAUCUUGACGGUACCUAAUCAGAAAGCCACGGCUAACUACGUG
rnacentral:rRNA from 1 species